UACGUAGGGUGCAAGCGUUGUCCGGAAUUAUUGGGCGUAAAGAGCUCGUAGGUGGCCUGUCGCGUCGGCUGUGAAAUCCCGAGGCUCAACCUCGGGUCUGCAGUCGAUACGAGCAAACUAGAGUGUUGCAGGGGAGACUGGAAUUCCUGGUGUAGCGGUGAAAUGCGCAGAUAUCAGGAGGAACACCGGUGGCGAAGGCGGGUCUCUGGGCAACAACUGACGCUGAGGAGCGAAAGCGUGGGGAGCGAACAGG
rnacentral:rRNA from 1 species